rnacentral:rRNA from 1 species
GCGGAGGAAAAGAAAAUAACAAUGAUUCCCCUAGUAACGGCGAGUGAACAGGGAAAAGCUCACAGUUGGAACCUAGCUGCCUUAGGUAGUUCGGAUUGUAAACUGAAAAAGUGUUAUCCAGGCUAGCCGAGUAAAUAAGUUUCUUGGAAUAGAACAUCAUGGAGGGUGAGAAUCCCGUCUUUGGCUUGAGCAUAGUCUUUUGUGUUGCACUUUAACGAGUCAGGUUGUUUGGGAAUGCAGCCUAAAGUGGGAGGUAAAUCCCUCCUAAAGCUAAAUAUUGGCGAGAGACCGAUAGCAAACAAGUACCGUGAGGGAAAGAUGAAAAGAACUUUGAAAAGAGAGUUAAACAGUAUGUGAAAUUGCUAAAAGGGAAGCGUUUGAAGACAGACUAGCUUGGUUAUAAUCAGCCUGGAUUUUUCUUGGUGUACUUGUAGCCUAUGCUUGCCAACAGCAGUUUGGUUUGGCUGAAAAAACUAAUAGUAAGGUGGCUCCUCUCGGGGAGUGUUAUAGACUGUUAGAAAAUCAGUUGGACUGGACUGAGGAAUGCAAUGCAGCUUGCCUUGGGGUGAACCAGAUUGGAUAGGAACCAUUGUUCUUUGAAGGUUUGGGUAGCUUCCUCGAACUGUAUUUAGGUUGUUGGCUUAAUGUCUUUAAACGGC